GAAAGCUAGGGGAGCAAAUGGGAUUAGAGACCCCAGUAGUCCUAGCCGUAAACGAUGGAUACUAGGUGCUGUGCGACUAUCACAUAAUUAAAAAAUAAGGAAUUU
rfam:Triticum urartu cultivar G1812 contig227540, whole genome shotgun sequence.